rnacentral:rRNA from 1 species
CAUUAGCUAGUUGGCGGGGUAACGGCCCACCAAGGCUCCGAUGGGUAGGGGUUCUGAGAGGAAGGCCCCCCACACUGGUACUGAGACACGGACCAGACUCCUACGGGAGGCAGCAGUGAGGAAUAUUGGUCAAUGGCCGGAAGGCUGAACCAGCCAAGUCGCGUGAGGGAAUAAGGCCCUACGGGUCGUAAACCUCUUUUGCCAGGGAGCAAUGCCGUCCACGUGUGGACGGAAGGAGAGUACCUGGAGAAAAAGCAUCGGCUAACUCCGUGCCAGCAGCCGCGGUAAUACGGAGGAUGCGAGCGUUAUCCGGAUUUAUUGGGUUUAAAGGGUGCGUAGGCGGCCUGCCAAGUCAGCGGUAAAAUUGCGGGGCUCAACCCCGUACAGCCGUUGAAACUGCCGGGCUCGAGUGGGCGAGAAGUAUGCGGAAUGCGUGGUGUAGCGGUGAAAUGCAUAGAUAUCACGCAGAACCCCGAUUGCGAAGGCAGCAUACCGGCGCCCGACUGACGCUGAGGCACGAAAGUGCGGGGAUCAAACAGGAUUAGAUACCCUGGUAGUCCGCACAGUAAACGAUGAAUGCUA